rnacentral:rRNA from 1 species
AUACGGUGGGUGCAAGCGUUAAUCGGAAUUACUGGGCGUAAAGCGUACGUAGGCGGUUCGUUAAGUUAGAUGUGAAAGCCCCGGGCUUAACCUGGGAACUGCAUUUAAAACUGGCGGACUAGAGUUGAGUAGAGGGGAGUGGAAUUUCAGGUGUAGCGGUGAAAUGCGUAGAGAUCUGAAGGAACACCAGUGGCGAAGGCGACUCCCUGGACUCGAACUGACGCUGAGGUACGAAAGCGUGGGUAGCAAACGGGAUUAGAAACCCUAGUAGUCC